GUGUAGGUAUAAACAAAAUAUUACAAAUUACCGGCCGUUCCUAGAGCAAGUGGCAAAGGGCUUGGUGGCUGGUACCCGAAAUCCAAGUUCGAAUCCUAGUUGAUUCAAAAUUUUAAUUAAGUUUAUUUUUAAAUGAAAUAAACGAAGCGAUAGCGCACUACCUAUCUCUCCAAAAAAAAAAACAAAAUAUAUAUUACAAAUUGAAAUCACAGCAACCG
rnacentral:lncRNA from 1 species